CGAAAAUUUUCGUUCCGCCAUUGUUUUAUCGCGACACGAAAGUUCGGUCUCUGUUUCUUUGGUUUUCUUUCUGUAAUUCCUCAAUACAGUUCUUAAGACAAUCGCUGUCCGCUAAACGCACAGCGAUCAAGGGACUGGAAAUUUGAUAAGCCAUCAGCAACAGCAGAAAAAAUGUACCGCAAAGACAAUCUGGUAGGAACCAGAAAGAUCCGGAUGUGGGGCUCGAGUUCUAACCGUUAUUCUAAGCGUAAAAGCCUAAAAACAAUCUCGGGAAUGCCUACUAUUAAUCAGAGGAUCAACACCCACUUAAAACCGAACAACUUCCCAAUCGGAUACGCAUGGCUCGCGGUGAACGAAUUUUGGAGAAUCCGAAACAAAACUGGAGUCCAAAACAACUUGGAAAAUUAACUAUCGUGCGUAUAGUGCCCUCAGAUUACGCGUUCAUAUACAAUUUAAGCUGUGGAUAACGUCAGCUUUUAUUGGCUGUGGAUAUUUUGUAGCUUCAGAACCGAUGGACAUUCCUGUUGAAAAAAUGGCCGUUUUCAACUCGUUGGUCACCUAGUUUCAAUACAAUUAGAACUGAAUAAUUUUAGUAGAAAAAAAUUAUUCUUUACUUCUCAUCCUUACUUACUUAC